UACGGAGGGUGCAAGCGUUAUCCGGAAUCACUGGGCUUAAAGGGUGCGUAGGCGGCUAUGUAAGUCAGUUGUGAAAUACCUCGGCUUAACCGAAGGAAGUGCGAUUGAUACUGCGGAGCUUGAAUCAGGUUGAGGUAGGCGGAAUGUGACAUGUAGCGGUGAAAUGCUUAGAUAUGUCAUAGAACACCGAUUGCGAAGGCAGCUUACUGGGCUUUGAUUGACGCUGAGGCACGAAAGCGUGGGGAGCAAACAGG
rnacentral:rRNA from 1 species